GGGAGGGAAGAGAGGAAACAGCCCCUCUCCCGUUAAAGGAUGCCAAGUCUUCAGCUGAGAGCUGUUGAGGAGCACUGAUCCAUCCAUCCGUCCUGCUCGUCCAGAUGAAUCUCACCACUGCGACUCCACAGCCUCGGCACAGACUUAUAGGUGGAGGAGACGAGGAGCUACUCUGUACCAUGAAGACGAAGGUGAAAGUGUUCUCCUGCCCCAGGCUGAGUGGAGUGCACUGCAUACAAAGAGGCUUCUGGAAACCAAACGACAGCGAAACAGUCAGAUAGCAUCCCACUAGUUGUGAUGCUAAUAUUUGCUGUGACUCAAACACCAACUGUACGUGUUCAAAAUGAAGGUAGACUGAUGUUCAUAUUCUACUAUGGACGGUGUGUGGUACACACUUACAUCGACUGGAGCAGAACAGGCACCGAGGACCAUUCAGCUCCUUGUGUGGUGUGUCAGGUGUGUCAUCAUGUGUGUGUGUCUGUGUGCAUCAAUACUGAAAGCAUUAGUCUGUAUUUAUCCACCUACUGCAUCAUCUUAACUCAUUUCAACUGUGAAGAAGGUUUUUUAAAAAUAUAUUUUUUAACUAGGCAAGUCAGUUAAGAACAAAUUAAUAUUUUUAAUGAAUAUUAGGAACAGUGGGUUAACUGCCUGUUCAGGGGCAGAAUGACAGGUUUGUC